rnacentral:rRNA from 1 species
GCCAGACUCCUACGGGAGGCAGCAGUGGGGAAUAUUGGACAAUGGGGGGAACCCUGAUCCAGCGACGCCGCGUGAGUGAAGAAGUAUUUCGGUAUGUAAAGCUCUAUCAGCAGGGAAGAAAGAAAUGACGGUACCUGACUAAGAAGCCCCGGCUAACUACGUGCCAGCAGCCGCGGUAAUACGUAGGGGGCAAGCGUUAUCCGGAUUUACUGGGUGUAAAGGGAGCGUAGACGGCGAUGCAAGCCAGAUGUGAAAGCCCGGGGCUCAACCCCGGGACUGCAUUUGGAACUGUGUGGCUGGAGUGUCGGAGAGGCAGGCGGAAUUCCUAGUGUAGCGGUGAAAUGCGUAGAUAUUAGGAGGAACACCAGUGGCGAAGGCGGCCUGCUGGACGAUGACUGACGUUGAGGCUCGAAAGCGUGGGGAGCAAACAGGAUUAGAUACCCGCGUAGAA